rnacentral:rRNA from 1 species
GACGAACGCUGGCGGCGUGCCUAAUACAUGCAAGUAGAACGCUGAAGAGAGGAGCUUGCUCUUCUUGGAUGAGUUGCGAACGGGUGAGUAACGCGUAGGUAACCUGCCUGGUAGCGGGGGAUAACUAUUGGAAACGAUAGCUAAUACCGCAUAAUAGUAGAUGUUGCAUGACAUUUACUUAAAAGGUGCAAUUGCAUCACUACCAGAUGGACCUGCGUUGUAUUAGCUAGUUGGUGAGGUAACGGCUCACCAAGGCGACGAUACAUAGCCGACCUGAGAGGGUGAUCGGCCACACUGGGACUGAGACACGGCCCAGACUCCUACGGGAGGCAGCAGUAGGGAAUCUUCGGCAAUGGACGGAAGUCUGACCGAGCAACGCCGCGUGAGUGAAGAAGGUUUUCGGAUCGUAAAGCUCUGUUGUAAGAGAAGAACGAGUGUGAGAG